UACGAAGGGUGCAAGCGUUACUCGGAAUUACUGGGCGCAAAGCGUGCGUAGGUGGUUCGUUAAGUCUGAUGUGAAAGCCCUGGGCUCAACCUGGGAAUGGCAUUGGAAACUGGCGACCUAGAGUGCGGUAGAGGAUGGCGGAAUUCCCGGUGUAGCGGUGAAAUGCGUAGAGAUCGGGAGGAACAUCCGUGGCGAAGGCGGCCAUCUGGAUCAACACUGACGCUGAGGCACGAAAGCGUGGGGAGCAAACAGG
rnacentral:rRNA from 1 species